rnacentral:lncRNA from 1 species
GGUUGCUGGAAUAAAUCCCAAAGGAGCAAGACAUCACUGAGGAGGAUAGGAAGCCAAAAUGGUUUCUGCCAAUAUCUGGGGAAUGAUUCUUUGAGAAGGCUGCACAUUUGCCACUGAGCUCCUCGGAACCCCUGGGAUUUAGAGAGCAGAUGUAACAAGGCGUAGCAUUCUACAACCUGUAAUAAAGGAAAACCCAAGUCUUUUUAAUAUAUUUUAAACAGGAUGUUACUUUCCUAGAUUGAGCAUACCAUUUACCUUGAGAGGUACACUGUUCCCUC